GUUUGAUCCUGGCUCAGGACGAACGCUGGCGGCGUGCUAAACACAUGCAAGUCGAGCGGAAAGGCCCUUCGGGGUACUCGAGCGGCGAACGGGUGAGUAACACGUGAGUAACCUGCCCCUGACUCUGGGAUAAGCCUGGGAAACUGGGUCUAAUACCGGAUACGACCUCCUGCGGCAUCGCGGGUGGUGGAAAGUUUUUCGGUUGGGGAUGGGCUCGCGGCCUAUCAGCUUGUUGGUGGGGUAGUGGCCUACCAAGGCGACGACGGGUAGCCGGCCUGAGAGGGCGACCGGCCACACUGGGACUGAGACACGGCCCAGACUCCUACGGGAGGCAGCAGUGGGAAUAUUGCGCAAUGGGCGAAAGCCUGACGCAGCGACGCCGCGUGGGGGAUGACGGCCUUCGGGUUGUAAACCUCUUUCAGCAGGGACGAAGUUGACGUGUACCUGCAGAAGAAGCGCCGGCUAACUACGUGCCAGCAGCCGCGGUAAUUCCAGCUCUCAUAAUGUAUAGAAUUAUUGUUGCGGUUAAAAAGUUCGUAGUUGGAUUUCAUACCGCUUGGGGGUCGUGCUUAACGGCGCGCACUUCCGGCGGUGUUUAUGUCGGGUGGGGCUUGCCUCACCCAACAUGGAUUACUUUGAACGGCUUAAGUGCUCAAGGCGGGUCUUCGGACCGAAUACCGGUGCAUGGAAUAAUGGAACAAGGUUUCGGCCGAGUUUUAUUGGUUUUGUCGGCUGAGACAAUGGUUAACAGGAACAGCUGGGGGCACUCGUAUCCCAGCGCGAGAGGUGAAAUUCAUGGACCGUUGGGAGACGCCCUAAAGCGAAGGCAUUUGCCAAGAGUGUUUUCAUUAAUCAAGAACGAAAGUCAGAGGUUCGAAGGCGAUUAGAUACCGCCCUAGUUCUGACCGUAAACGAUGCAAACUAUCAAUCCGCCAGCAGCUUUCAGUUGUUGGCGGGCGGAUCGACGGAAACGAAAGUUUUUCUGUUCCGGGGGAAGUAUGGUUGCAAAGCUGAAACUUAAAGGAAUUGACGGAAGGGCACCACCAGGAGUGGAGCUUGCGGCUUAAUUUGACCCAACACGGGAAACCUCACCCGGCCAGUACAUCAUAAGGAUUGACAGAUUGAAAGCUCUUUCAUGAUUUGAUGAAUGGUGGUGCAUGGCCGUUCUUAGUUCGUGGUGUGAACUGUCUGCUUAAUUGCGAUAACGAGCGAGACUCCGACUGUUAAAUAGCACCCGUCUCAUUGCGGGCGGGCGGCUUCUUAACUGGAUUCGCGACUUCAAGUCGCAAGAAAUGGAGCAAUAACAGGUCUGUGAUGCCCUUAGAUGUUCGGGGCCGCACGCGUGCUACAAUGAUGGUAACAGCGUGAUUGUCCUCGCCCGACAGGGCUUGGCAAACAGUUGAGAUAUUAUUAUGGCUGGAAUUGAGUGUUGAAAUUUUCUCUCAUGAACGAGGAAUUCCAAGUAAA
rnacentral:rRNA from 1 species